GCCUUCUGCACACGCUGUGGGAGCUGUGCUCCCUUGGAUACAUACGUAGGCGGGGCCCCGGGGUGGGCUCCGCCCCCAGCUCCCGCUGACGCUGGGACUCAAAGUGGGAGGAAAAGAAGAGAGCAGGCUGGGGAGUCGGUUUAUGCUGCUCUACCUGCCCUGGGCCUAGAGACCCUCUCCCUUUGCUUUUCACGCUUGUUGUUCCUGAAUUUCACAGAGAUCCACCCUAUCCUAACAGCUGGCCCUGACUUUGCAGCCAAGAAGAGUGGUUUCUAUGGAGAAAGGAUGCCUAAUCCCACCCCACAAUGAAGAGUCUAGUUUUCACUUCCAGUUGCCAAACCUGAGGCUUUGUAAACUGCAGCGUAUACUCAGUGAAGACUCACCUGAGGAAGUAUGUGAAAAGGCAGACUCUAAUUCCUAAGUGUGCACCUGCCUGCGCUGGGAUCUUGAUGUAAACUGUUCAUGGGCCACACUCUUGAGAAACAUGAAAAAUGAUGGAAUGAAUGCCAAAAUGUAAAAUUAA